CACGUUGUCGUUCUGGUCAACCACAUGGAGGUUCAGUGUGGCCGUGCCUGUUAAUGGUGGCUCACCUGUCAAGACAGAAAUACAAGAAUACGUUUCUACAGCCAUGCUAACAGCACUUUGAGCUGGUCUUCGCUUGACCGUGCUGGUGUGUGUCUCCUCGUCGUCUGACCUGAACACAGGAGUGUCUCCUCCGUUGGCGUUGGUGGCCUGGCUGUCAGAGGAGGAGUUUGAAGAUGUGGAGGACAUGCGUGACUUGGCAUCAAGACCCUCGAGGACAUGUUGAAAGAGUCCAUUACUGAUGACUUCCUCGUUGUUGUUGUUUCCUUGAGCUGUAAGUCAGAAACAAAAAAAUGUUAGGGAUGUAACUGUGCAGGCUGUUCACAUUGCUGUUUGCAGUUACACCAACAAGGAAAAAAAGAUGUGUGAUGACGUUAAUAAAGUUCAAAAGAA